AUCAUUUAAAUAAUUAGUUUACGGUGUAAGAUGAGUAUGCGUCCCAUUAGUUUGUUGGUAAGGUAACGGCUUACCAAGACUACGAUGGGUAGGGGCCCUGAGAGGGGGAUCCCCCACACUGGUACUGAGACACGGACCAGACUCCUACGGGAGGCAGCAGUGAGGAAUAUUGGACAAUGGAGGAGACUCUGAUCCAGCCAUGCCGCGUGCAGGAAGACGGUCCUAUGGAUUGUAAACUGCUUUUAUACAGGAAGAAUAAGGACUACGUGUAGUCUGGUGACGGUACUGUAAGAAUAAGGACCGGCUAACUCCGUGCCAGCAGCCGCGGUAAUACGGAGGGUCCGAGCGUUAUCCGGAAUUAUUGGGUUUAAAGGGUCCGUAGGCGGGCUGUUAAGUCAGGGGUGAAAGUUUGCAGCUCAACUGUAGAAUUGCCUUUGAUACUGAUGGUCUUGAAUUAUUGUGAAGUGGUUAGAAUAUGUAGUGUAGCGGUGAAAUGCAUAGAUAUUACAUAGAAUACCGAUUGCGAAGGCAGAUCACUAACAAUUGAUUGACGCUGAUGGACGAAAGCGUGGGUAGCGAACAGGAUUAGAUACCCUGGUAGUCCACGCCGUAAACGAUGGAUACUAGCUGUUUGGAUUUCGAUCUGAGCGGCCAAGCGAAAGUGAUAAGUAUCCCACCUGGGGAGUACGUUCGCAAGAAUGAAACUCAAAGG
rnacentral:rRNA from 1 species